AACGUAGGAGACGAGCGUUAUCCGGAUUUACUGGGCGUAAAGCGCGUGCAGGCGGCAUGGCAAGUUGGAUGUGAAAGCUCCCGGCUUAACUGGGAGAGGUCGUUCAAUACUGCCAGGCUUGAGAGUGGUAGAGGGAAGCGGAAUUCCGGGUGUAGUGGUGAAAUGCGUAGAUAUCCGGAGGAACACCAGUGGCGAAAGCGGCUUCCUGGCCCAUUUCUGACGCUCAGACGCGAAAGCUAGGGUAGCAAACGGGAUUAGAGACCCCGGUAGUCCUAGCCGUAAACGAUGUGAACUUGGCGUUGGCGGGUUUAAAUCCGUCAGUGCCGCAGCUAACGCGAUAAGUUCACCGCCUGGGGACUACGGCCGCAAGGUUA
rnacentral:rRNA from 1 species